GGUAGCGUGUCCGAGCGGCCUAAGGAGCGCGCCUCGAAAGCGCGUGUGGUCAACAGCCACCGUGGGUUCGAAUCCCACCGCUACCG
rnacentral:tRNA from 1 species